UUAGCUUGUUGGUGAGGUAAUGGCUCACCAAGGCGACGAUCAGUAUCUGGUUUGAGAGGACGAUCAGACACACUGGAACUGAGACACGGUCCAGACUCCUACGGGAGGCAGCAGUAGGGAAUUUUCCGCAAUGGGCGAAAGCCUGACGGAGCAAUCUCGCGUGAGGGAUGACGGCCUAUGGGUUGUAAACCUCUUUUUUCAGGGAGGAAUAACUGACGUGUACCUGAAGAAUAAGCAUCGGCUAACUCCGUGCCAGCAGCCGCGGUAAGACGGAGGAUGCAAGUGUUAUCCGGAAUCACUGGGCGUAAAGCGUCUGUAGGUGGUUUAAUAAGUCAACUGUUAAAUUUUAAAGCUUAACUUUGAAAUCGCAGUCGAAACUAUUAGACUAGAGUAUAGUAGGGGUAAAGGGAAUUUCCAGUGGAGCGGUGAAAUGCGUAGAGAUUGGAAAGAACACCGAUGGCGAAGGCACUUUACUGGGCUAUUACUAACACUCAGAGACGAAAGCUAGGGUAGCAAAUGGGAUUAGAUACCCCAGUAGUCCUAGCCGUAAACAAUGGAUACUAGAUGUUGAACAGAUCGACCUGUGCAGUAUCAAAGCUAACGCGUUAAGUAUCCCGCCUGGGAAGUAUGCUCGCAAGAGUGAAACUCAAAGGAAUUGACAGGGGCCGGAUCUCAAAUCAAGCAAGAAGACCCGCCGAAUUUAAGCAUAUAAUUAAGCGGAGGAAAAGAAACUAACCAGGAUUCCCCUAGUAAGGGCGACUGAAGCGGGAAGUGCUCAGGAUGUGAAUCUGCGCUUAUGCGCCGAAUUGUGGUCUGUAGACAGUGACGUUAUUGGCCGGGCCAAGUCCCUUGGAAAAGGGCAGCAGAGAGGGUGAGACUCCCGUCCGCCUGGCUGAAUGAGUCGCUAGUCAACGAGUCGAGUUGUUUGGGAUUGCAGCUCUAAGUGGGUGGUAAAUUCCAUCUAAAGCUAAAUAUUGGUGGGAGACCGAUAGCGUACAAGUACCGUGAGGGAAAGAUGCAAAGAACUUUGAAAGUCCGUCGCUGAGUCAAAGCCGAUACUCUGGAAAAUCAGACUUUGUAGAAUGUUUUGCUGGUAGUACGUGAAAGGACCUUUUAUGGCCGUUCACGGAAUCCAGUGGCUUUCUACACUGUAUCUUUGUCUGUCUAUUGGAAAGCAUUUUUGCAAUUUUCUGAUGGCCCUGGCUUAGCGGAGACCUGUGUU
rnacentral:rRNA from 1 species